UACGUAGGGGGCCAGCGUUGUCCGGAAUCAUUGGGCGUAAAGCGCGCGUAGGCGGCCAGAUAAGUCCGGUGUGAAAGUCAAAGGCUCAACCUUUGAAUGCCGCUGGAAACUGUCUGGCUUGAGUCCGGAAGGGGCGAGUGGAAUUCCUGGUGUAGCGGUGAAAUGCGCAGAUAUCAGGAGGAACACCAAUGGCGAAGGCAGCUCGCUGGAACGGUACUGACGCUGAGGCACGAAAGCGUGGGGAGCAAACAGG
rnacentral:rRNA from 1 species